rnacentral:rRNA from 1 species
UACGUAGGGUGUAAGCGUUAAUCGGAAUUACUGGGCGUAAAGCGUGCGCAGGCGGUUAUGUAAGACAGGUGUGAAAUCCCCGGGCUUAACCUGGGAACUGCUUUUGUGACUGCAUAGCUAGAGUACGGUAGAGGGGGAUGGAAUUCCGCGUGUAGCAGUGAAAUGCGUAGAUAUGCGGAGGAACACCGAUGGCGAAGGCAAUCCCCUGGACCUGUACUGACGCUCAUGCACGAAAGCGUGGGGAGCAAACAGG